AGAGUUAAACAGUACGUGAAAUUGUUGAAAGGGAAACGAUUGAAGCCAGUCGUACCAGCGGAUAAUCAACCUUUAGAUGCGAUUUUAUGAAGUGUGAGGAGCUAAUCGCCUUCAUGCCUGUAUAUUCGUAUACUUGGGGUGUACUUAUUCGUGUGGUAAGUUAACAUCAAUUUUGGUUGUCAUAAAAUGAUUGGAGGAAUGUAGCUUCGAUCUCGUAUUGAAGUGUUAUAGCCUUUGGUAGAUGUGAUGAUCGGGAUUGAGGAUUGCAACGGAUACCCUUCGGGGCUACUUGUCUGAUCUCUGAUUGUUGCUCUGGUGCUGAAAGCGUGCUUAUAGUUAUCAAAGUCGAUAGUCAAUAGGUUAGAAUGGGUUAAAUUCGUUAAGGAUGUUGACGUAAUGGCUUUAAACGA
rnacentral:misc_RNA from 1 species